rnacentral:rRNA from 1 species
UUUUGACCUCAGCUCAGUCGUAACCACCCGCUGAAUUUAAGCAUAUAACUAAGCGGAGGAAAAGAAACUAACGAGGAUUCCUCUAGUAACGGCGAGUGAAUGGGGAAAAGCCCAGCGCUGAAUCCAUUGGCCACUGGUCGCUUGGAAUUGUAGCGUAUAGGUGCGGUUGUCCGUUUGUUUCGCGCACCCAAAGUCCCCUUGAGUGGGGCUAUAGUCCAAAGAAGGUGCUAGACCUGUACGGGUGGCGAGACGAUCGGUUGAUUGCUCCUUGGAGUCGGGUUGCCUGGGAUCGCAGCCCAAAGUUGGUGGUAGACCUCAUCUAAGGCUAAAUAUGGCCACGAAACCGAUAGCAAACAAGUACCGUGAGGGAAAGUUGCAAAGAACUUUGAAGAGAGAGUUCAAGAGGGCGUGAAACCGCUCCGCUGAGAUUGGAUAGAGUUGACUUAACUCGGCUGCAUUCAUCCGGUCGGUCUAGCGGUCCAAUGGUUUUGACUUCCUCGAAGAGGGCGAGGCGAUCGGCAACUGUUGGGCAUUUGAUCGGUGUAUUUGCGGCUGGUAUGCGCUGAGAGCUUUGCGAUCGCGUGUUGACAAACGUGCAGUGGACCAUUCCUUCCGGGCGUGGAAACCUUCGCGCUUUGAGACAUGUCGGUUGUAAGGUUUUGAAGAUGGCGUCUCCGCUAUGGUGCGUCAGCUUUUUCGAGCUGUUGUGGCUGCUGGAUGGUCGCAUGCGACUAUCUGCAGUCAUCGAUGGUGCGAGAUGAGUGUGGACGCGGCGAGGCGUUGAUCUCGGUGUGAACGUCGACCACCUAUCCGACCCGUCUUGAAACACGGACCAAGGAGUCUAGCAUAUGCGCAAGUCAUUGGGUGAUAAACCUAAAGGCGUAAUGAAAGUAAAAGUCGCCCAGAUGCGACCGAUAUGGGAUCCAUGCGGUUUUUGAAGCCGUACGGCGCACCAUAGCCCCGUCCCCGUUGCUUGCAAUAGGGCGGAGGUAGAGCGCAUACGCUGGUACCCGAAAGAUGGUGAACUAUGCCUGAGCAGGAUGAAGCCAGAGGAAACUCUGGUGGAAGUCCGAAGCGGUUCUGACGUGCAAAUCGAUCGUCUGACUUGGGUAUAGGGGCGAAAGACUAAUCGAACCAUCUAGUAGCUGGUUCCCUCUGAAGUUUCCCCCAGGAUAGCUGGAGUUCGUGUUGUGCAGUUAUAUUCGGUAAAGCGAAUGAUUAGAGGAAUUGGGGACGAAACGACCUCAACCUAUUCUCAAACUUUCAAUGGGUAUGAAGUCCCGCUUGCUUGACGUUGCUGAAGCGUGGACAUUGAAUGUGAGCUCCAAGUGGGCCAUUUUUGGUAAGCAGAACUGGCGCUGUGGGAUGAACCAAACGUCGGGUUAAAGUGCCAAACUUCCCGCUCAUGAGACCCCAUGAAAGGCGUUGGUUGAUAUAGACAGCAGGACGGUGGCCAUGGAAGUCGGAAUCCGCUAAGGAGUGUGUAACAACUCACCUGCCGAAUCAACUAGCCCUGAAAAUGGAUGGCGCUUGAGCGUGAGACUUAUACCCGACCGUUGCUUAGCUUGUGCGUUUUUCGUAUGAGAGAUUCGCCUGGCCGCAACGAGUAAGAGGGUCUCAGUGGUUUGCGUUGAAGGCUUUGAGCGUAGGCCCGGCUGGAGCUUCCACUGGUGCAGAUCUUGGUGGUAGUAGCAAAUAUUCAAGUGAGAUCCUUGAAGACUGAAGUGGAGAAGGGUUCCACGUGAACAGCAGUUGAAUGUGGGUCAGUCGGCCCUAAGAAACUGGCUAAUGCCAUGUGUUAUCGAGAGGCGGAGUUCAAAUCCAUCUCGUCUAUCGAAAGGGAAACGGGUUAAUAUUCCCGUACCUGGACACGGAGAUAAGCGCUCAUUGCGAGCGUUUAGCGCGGCAACGCAAACGAACUCGGUAACGCUGAAUAGAGCCCGAGCUAGAGUUCUCUUUUCUAGUUAAGGAACGAAUUCCCUGGAAUCGGUUCAGCCGGCGAUAGGGAUGUUGUUUCCGUAAAGCGCCACGGUUCCUGUGGUGUCUCGUGCGCUCUAUUCGGCCCUUGAAAAACCGAGGGAGGCUAUUUGAAUUUCGUGCCAGGCCGUACCGAUAUCCGCAGCAGGUCUCCAAGGUGAACAGCCUCUAGUCGAUAGAAUAAUGUAGGUAAGGGAAGUCGGCAAAUUAGAUCCGUAACUUCGGGAAAAGGAUUGGCUCUAAGGACUGGGCCGGUCGGGCUGCAGUGUGAAGUGAGCUCGGUUUGAUCCAUGCAGUGCAACGCUCGGCAACGGGUGGCGCUCGGCUAGCGUUCGAACUGUCUCGUGGACCGCUGCAGCUGCGUGCCGCGUCCUCGCGGGCGUUGGUGCUUCGGCCGGCGCUAAACAGUCGACUUAGAACUGGCACGGACUCGGGGAAUCCGACUGUCUAAUUAAAACAGAGGAGACAGAUGGCCCUUGCGGGCGUUGACUGUCUCUGAUUUCUGCCCAGUGCUCUGAAUGUAAAAGUGAAGAAAUUCAACCAAGCGCGGGUAAACGGCGGGAGUAACUAUGACUCUCUUAAGGUAGCCAAAUGCCUCGUCAUCUAAUUAGUGACGCGCAUGAAUGGAUUAACGAGAUUCCCACUGUCCCUAUCUACUAUCUAGCGAAACCACAGCCAAGGGAACGGGCUUGGCGAACACAGCGGGGAAAGAAGAAAUAUUUUCGAGAGUUGAAGGGAAUGAAAAGAAAAGUAACACAUGGAAACUCAUAUACGAUUUAACCUCAAUUAUAACUUAGUAAUUUUUUAAUUCGUUUAGUUUGGGAUGAUGGCUAUGUGUCGAAGUGAGAUUUCAAAUUGUUCUGUUUCUUCGCGAUUGUUUUGAUGUCGAUAAAUAUUUCGGCUUCUAAUAACUUCCUUUCUCUAGCUAUGUGAAAAAGAGAUUUUUGAAUACACAAUAGUGUAGUUGAUAGAAGUUGAGCACUGAGAAUUGUACUAGUGUGAAAGCGAAACAUAUACGUUCCAUGAUAUCUAAAUAUGUGUGAUAAAGAACGUAUAGUAAUGAAUAAUUUGCUUUCAUAAAUUCAACAGCGGAAAUUUGAUUUGUUCUAUUUUUUGAA